UGGGCUAUAGCCAAGUGGUAAGGCAACGGACUUUGACUCCGUCAUUCGUUGGUUCGAAUCCAGCUAGCCCAG
rfam:Bacillus sporothermodurans strain B4102 NODE_400, whole genome shotgun sequence.